UAAGGAAUAUUGGUCAAUGGACGCAAGUCUGAACCAGCCAUGCCGCGUGAAGGAUGAAGGUCCUCUGGAUUGUAAACUUCUUUUAUCUGGGACGAAAACGGGAUUUUUAUCUCAAUUGACGGUACCAGAGGAAUAAGCACCGGCUAACUCCGUGCCAGCAGCCGCGGUAAUACGGAGGGUGCGAGCGUUAUCCGGAUUUACUGGGUUUAAAGGGUGCGUAGGUGGGCUUAUAAGUCAGUGGUGAAAUCUCCGAGCUUAACUUGGAAACUGCCGUUGAUACUAUAGGCCUUGAAUUAUCUGGAGGUAAGCGGAAUAUGUCAUGCAGCGGUGAAAUGCUUAGAUAUGACAUAGAACACCAAUUGCGAAGGCAGCUUACUACAUAUAAAUUGACGCUGAGGCACGAAAGCGUGGGGAUCAAACA
rnacentral:rRNA from 1 species